rnacentral:SRP_RNA from 1 species
UGAGAGAUUGUUUUGGACAAGUACGUCGCCAACCCGGUCAGGUCUGAAAGGAAGCAGCCGUAACGAAAUUACUUGGGUCAAUAUCAAUCUCUCGCUU